rnacentral:lncRNA from 1 species
UUUUCUAUCUGUGAUGGAAGUUUUUAUGUACGAUUGCCUGAUCUGAAGACAAGACUUUCGCUGCAUGCAUAUUUAAUGUAUGACGUCACCCACACAGAGUGAGAGCUCGAGGUUUUCUUUGAAAGUUUGAUGGAAAAUGUACAGAGACUUGUCGCAGUUAAUGCAGUACCAAAUGCUUGCUUUCUUGGAGUAUGUGCUUGAAACAAGAAUGUCCUGGAGAAAACAGACCACCACAAGAGAAGGGAUUGAGAAGGAGGGCUUCCUGUUGACAGAUCAGGGGGUGCCUUGAGGUUCCACUCUUGAUGUUCUGCCCCUUACCUGAAAGCGAUGGCCUCUUGUGCCUGACAUAUUAGGAGCAAAGCACAAUGGACUGCUGGCUUAUUGGAAUUGGUUACAAAGAUACAAGUGGACUUGUCUGUAGUAGUUGCUGAAGAGGAGCAGUCAGCACAAGGAGCGUGUGCCUCCAAAACAACGUGGGAACUUCUCCCAAGUUCAUCUCAAAUCACAAGGCUCUUCAGGAAUCAAGAUGUAACAAUGGAGGUUGAGAAGGAGUUUGCGACCCUCCUGAUUUGGACUACUCGCUAUAUACAUUCUCAAACAAUGGAUUGUAGCACUUCUGCACAAAACUCAACAAGUCAUGAUUGAGGAAAAUGCAACAAAUACUCAGUUGAGUAUUGAUUUAUGUGACUGGUAUUAGGGUAGGAUUCAGCUUGGUAAUUUUAUAUAAACUAUGUCCCAAAAGAACCUCAUUGGUCCUUAUGGUUCCACGCCACAAGCUGCUCCCUCCCCUGUUUCGGUAUACCGAACCCAGACUAUCAAGGGAUCAAAUGAAUUAAAAUCCACACUUGAUUACAAAUGAA